GCCUUUAGUAACCAGCUGUGACUGAGAGGAGUGACCAUUACUCUAGGCAAGUCUGUGAAAUCAACAUUUAGAUGGUCAGAACAGAUCCAGAUGGCCACUGUUACUCUGUUCUUCGCCUGACUUGGCCACCUUGCAGAUGCCUUUUAGAUCAGUGCAGAUCACUCCCACGAUUGGCUAAACAACAGCUCUCAAGGACACUUCCUAUUAAAGGAGAGAAGAAACACAGGGAGCUUUGAGUCAGCUAAGGUGUCCUGAAGAAGUAGGAGCUGUUCCAAGAACAGAAGGAAUGCAUGGGCAUCUGCGGUUGUGUUUAUUGAUCAGGUAGGAAGGGGGCUGGUGAACACAAAGAAGGCUCCAUGGCGAGCUUUCCACUGAGGAUU
rnacentral:lncRNA from 1 species